rnacentral:rRNA from 1 species
GAUGAACGCUAGCGGCAGGCUUAACACAUGCAAGUCGAGGGGCAGCAUAAUGGUAGUAAUACUAUUGAUGGCGACCGGCGGACGGGUGCGUAACGCGUAUGCAACCUACCCUUUACAGGGGGAUAACACUGAGAAAUCGGUACUAAUACCCCAUAAUAUUCUGGGAGGCAUCUUUCGGAGUUGAAAGCUUUGGUGGUAAAGGAUGGGCAUGCGUUGUAUUAGCCAGUUGGUAAGGUAACGGCUUACCAAGGCGACGAUACAUAGGGGGACUGAGAGGUUAACCCCCCACAUUGGUACUGAGACACGGACCAAACUCCUACGGGAGGCAGCAGUGAGGAAUAUUGGUCAAUGGACGGAAGUCUGAACCAGCCAUGCCGCGUGCAGGAAGACGGCUCUAUGAGUUGUAAACUGCUUUUGUACGAGGGUAAACGCAGAUACGUGUAUCUGCCUGAAAGUAUCGUACGAAUAAGGAUCGGCUAACUCCGUGCCAGCAGCCGCGGUAAUACGGAGGAUCCAAGCGUUAUCCGGAUUUAUUGGGUUUAAAGGGUGCGUAGGCGGUUUAGUAAGUCAGCGGUGAAAUUUUGGUGCUUAACACCAAACGUGCCGUUGAUACUGCUGGGCUAGAGAGUAGUUGCGGUAGGCGGAAUGUAUGGUGUAGCGGUGAAAUGCUUAGAGAUCAUACAGAACACCGAUUGCGAAGGCAGCUUACCAAACUAUAUCUGACGUUGAGGCACGAAAGCGUGGGGAGCAAACAGGAUUAGAUACCCUGGUAGUCCACGCAGUAAACGAUGAUAGCUCGUUGUCGGCGAUACACAGUCGGUGACUAAGAGAAAUCGAUAAGCUAUCCACCUGGGGAGUACGUUCGCAAGAAUGAAACUCAAAGGAAUUGACGGGGGCCCGCACAAGCGGAGGAACAUGUGGUUUAAUUCGAUGAUACGCGAGGAACCUUACCCGGGCUUGAAAGUUACUGACGAUUCUGGAAACAGGAUUUCCCUUCGGGGCAGGAAACUAGGUGCUGCAUGGUUGUCGUCAGCUCGUGCCGUGAGGUGUCGGGUUAAGUCCCAUAACGAGCGCAACCCCUACUGAUAGUUGCCAUCAGA